UUUAACUGAGCGUUCAGUUACUUGACGUAGACCCGAAACCGGGCGACCUACCCAUGAGCAGGAUGAAGCGAAAGUAAAAUUUCGUGGAGGUCCGAACCCACGAGCGUUGAAAAGCUCGGGGAUGACUUGUGGGUAGCGGUGAAAUUCCAAUCGAGCCCGGAGAUAGCUGGUUCUCCCCGAAAUAGCUUUAGGGCUAGCCUCAAGGUGAGAGAUACGGAGGUAGAGCACUGAAUGUCCUAGGGGGUAUUGCACCUACCGAAGACUAUCAAACUCCGAAUGCCGUCAUCUUAUACUUGGGAGUCAGACUGUGGGUGAUAAGAUUCAUAGUCGAAAGGGCAACAGCCCAGAUCGUCAGCUAAGGUCCCUAAAUGUAAGUUAAGUGGUAAAGGAUGUGGGAUUGCACAGACAACCAGGAUGUUGGCUUAGAAGCAGCCACUCAUUCAAAGAGUGCGUAAUAGCUCACUGGUCGAGUGAUCCUGCGCCGAAGAUUUCCGGGGCUAAAACUUACUACCGAAGCUACGGCAUCAGUAAUGAUGGGUAGGGGAGCUUCCCAUACGGGUUGAAGCAUGACCGUAAGGACAUGUGGACAGUAUGGGAGUGAGAAUGUUGGCAUGAGUAGCGAGAUGUGGGUGAGAAUCCCACAGGCCGUAAACCCAAGGUUUCCAGGGGAAGGUUCGUCCGCCCUGGGUUAGUCGGGACCUAAGCUGAGGCCGAAAGGCGUAGGUGAUGGACAACAGGUUGAUAUUCCUGUACUACCGAUAACCGUUUGAGAGAAGGGAUGACACAGUAGGAUAAGCUAAGCACACUGUUGGUUAUGUGUGCCCAAGCAUUGAGGCAGUCAAAGUAGGCAAAUCCGCUUUGAUAAUGCUAGGAUGUGAUGGGGAGCGAAAUUUAGUAGCGAAGUAGCUGAUUUCACACUGUCAAGAAAAGUCUCUAUCGAGGUUAAAGGUACCCGUACCGCAAACCGACACAGGUGGGUGAGGAGAGUA
rnacentral:rRNA from 1 species